CUUAAUGAAUAUUUGUUUAAAAAUUAUAUCAUUUUUUACUACAAAAUAGUACCUAAUCAAUUAAUGUAGGUAUUUAGAGUAAAGUAUACCCGCUUAAUUUUUAUUUAUUCACUGUGAAUUGGAAAUGUCUUCUUCAGAUAUUGUAUCUUUAGAUGACAACAGUAUAGUGAUAAAUGAUUUACCGAAUGAUACAGAAGCAGCUAUAAGGUAUAUUAAGACAUUAUUACCAGCAAAUCUAAAAGAUACAUUUAAAUAUCCACCAAUUGUAUUUAUUCAUCAACUUUAUGAUAUAGUACACAAUAAAACAUUGAUUAAUAAAGAGCUGGAUAUAUUAAAAAAACAGUGCAAAAUACAAUUACUCACAAUUGGAACGUCUGAUUCUUCUUCAGCCUUAAUAUUAUAUGAAGAUUAUGUAAAAUAUACUAUAAAAAUUUAUCCAGAUAAUUGUUGUGUCAAAAAAUUUUUAAAUAUUAUUUUACCUUCAAUAAAAUCAUUUUUAGUGGAAAAAUCAACUUUGCAACAAAAAUUUAAAUUACAGCAAUAUGAAUUGACAGAAUUGAUCAAUUGUGGACUUUUAUUGAUUAGAAAUCAAGAAAGUUAUUGGGUAUCUUUUCCAUCAUCAGGAAAUUUUAUAAAGCGUUUCAUUGAAGGUCGAAAAUAUAUUAUUCAAAUAAUUAAACGGAGAAAAUUUCAAGAAAUAUUAGAAAAUGUAAGUUGUCUUACAUUGUAACUUGACUUAGAAGUUCGAUGUGCUAAAGUAUCAAAGAUAAAAGAACUUGGUUUCAAAUACUUUUUACACGAAAUUAAAGGAUCAGAAGAUAUAAUUACAAUGAAUACAACAUCAGGAUGUCUUUUGAGAAU
rnacentral:misc_RNA from 1 species